rnacentral:misc_RNA from 1 species
GGCGCGGCUUCGGCCGCGCC